ensembl:miRNA
CGCAAUCCCGCCUUCUUUCCUAGCACUUCCUGUUCCCGGCUGACCCUGGCUAGGGGCCCAGGGCCGAAGAGUGACCGUGGCCGGAGUGACCCGGGGCGGCUGCGCGGACUGGGCUGGGCCGUG